GUGGGGAAUAUUGGGCAAUGGGCGCAAGCCUGACCCAGCAACGCCGCGUGAAGGAAGAAGGCUUUCGGGUUCUAAACUUCUUUUACCAGGGACGAAACAAAUUACGGUACCUGGUGAAUAAGCCACGGCUAACUACGUGCCAGCAGCCGCGGUAAUACGUAGGUGGCGAGCGUUAUCCGGAUUUAUUGGGUGUAAAGGGCGUGUAGGCGGGACAGCAAGUCAGAUGUGAAAACCAGAGGCUCAACCUCUGGCCUGCAUUUGAAACUGUUGUGCUUGAGUGUCGGAGAGGUAAUCGGAAUUCCGUGUGUAGCGGUGAAAUGCGUAGAUAUACGGAGGAACACCAGUGGCGAAGGCGGAUUACUGGACGAUAACUGACGCUGAGGCGCGAAAGCGUGGGGAGCAAACAGGAUUAGAUACCCCGGUAGUCC
rnacentral:rRNA from 1 species